AUGCGCUGGAACACGUUGCCCAAGGAUGUUGUGGACGCCCCGUCCCUGGAGGCAUUGAAGGCCAGGCUGGAUGUGGCUCUGGGCAGCCUGGUCUGGUGGUUGGCGACCCUGCGCUCAGCAGGGGGGUUGAAACUGGAUGAUCAUUAUGGUCCUUUUCAACCCAGGCCAUUCUGUGAUUCUAUGAAAAUCUACUGCUUAUCAUUCCCACUCUUUCUAGCAAAAGCCUGUCCUCACACACUGCCCUGGUUCGGCGGUGUUUCCCAUCUCUGCAGUUCCCACUGUGUUCUGCAAAGAACAAGCAGCAGAAAGAGAACGUGGAAGGAAAAAGCGAGACCCAAGAAAUGUGCCCUAUUAGACAGAAGUAUCUAUUGGAACAAAAAUAGGCAGAUCCAUUAGAUCCCUUGUGUGGACAGACACCAACUUCCGGCAGCAUCUCGACGCUGACUUUAAACGUUAAACCAGCUGUCUGAGCCUGACCUUCACCUGGAAAGUACAAAUUGUUUUGGUGGGGCAGCUCUCACAAGUGGCAUUUUUAUGGAUACAAAUGCUUUCUCGCUCUUCCUAGUACAGUACAACACGUCCACGGUGAGAUGCUGUAAGUUGUGCAUCUUCCAAGCGUUUAAAUUAGCUAUAAGUAUAAAAACAUGAAACCUGCACUCAUCCUUCUUUUCUGAGUUACAGAAAUACAGAAGUAAAAUGCGCAGCUUGGUAAAUAUCCGCAUGCACUUCUGCAAAUGUUGUGUUUCAUUUUGUAAGGGUGCCCCUACGCAUGUCGGCAUGCCUUUAUUCACAGAGACUGCGUUGGUUUCGCACAGCGUUGUAAGCAGUGGGGCCCAGCUGAAGGCCCCGGGGUUUGAGACGUGCUCAACUGGGGAAAAAGCGGAGAAAUGGCAACAGAGAGUGUGGGCAGCGCCGGGGGGGAGUAGAGACUGCCUUGCAAAUGUCACCAUGCAGAUUGCGAUCUCCUUCUCAAGGUGUUUCAGAUUAUGCUGAAGGGAUCAGCUGUGACCAUGUAACGAGGAGCACCUGCGAGGUGCUCGUGUCGGCAGAGUUCCUCCUUCCCCUUCCUCUCGCCCUGCCCGGCUCCCCCGUGCUGCAGGCUGUCAGCACCGCAGGGUUCCCAGCUCCGUGCCUGCCCUGCUCCCGACUCAACUCCAGCGCAGGGGGAAACUUUUCCUCUUCCUCUCUGGCAAAGCCCUCUUGCUCCUGGGGCGGUGCUGGUGCGCAUCCAUGCCAUGCGCUGAGGAACCUGGGCACUAACAUAUGUAUGUAUAGCCAUGUUUAAACAGCAAAGAUAAUCUGGCAUCCCAGCUGCUGGCGCUCACUCAGCACAGGACUUUUCACCGUACUCUUUUUGGAGGUCCUCAGUUCCUCUUUUCCUCUUCUCCAUCAUACUUCAGCGUUUCAAGGGUGUAGGAAAGUAGAAAUGUUCCAAAUUUCCCACUAGGUGCCUGCCUGCAUCUUUUGCUGCUACAGCUGUGAGGAUUCAGUGCUACCGAGAGCUCUGCUGCUGCUGGUGGAGAGUCUUUAACCCAGACACUGGAGCAUUUGGAGCUGAGAGGAAAAGCUGCUUGUUUCCUGCAGACAGUGAUAACGCAGACGUGUCCUUUUAUUACGGUGCGCUGAUAAUAAACUAUCUUCGCUAAUAACA
rnacentral:lncRNA from 1 species